rnacentral:misc_RNA from 1 species
UGAACCAACGCCGAGCCACCA